GGUUUCGAUCAUACCAGCACUAAUGCACCGGAUCCCAUCAGAACUCCGCAGUUAAGCGUGCUUGGGCGAGAGUAGUACUAGGAUGGGUGACCCCCUGGGAAGUCCUCGUGUUGCAACCC
rnacentral:rRNA from 1 species